UUGACCUCGGAUCAGGUAGGAAUACCCGCUGAACUUAAGCAUAUCAAUAG
rnacentral:rRNA from 12 species